UACGUAGGGGCUAGCGUUAUCCGGAAUUACUGGGCGUAAAGGGUGCGUAGGCGGUCUUUCAAGCCAGAAGUGAAAGGCUACGGCUCAACCGUAGUAAGCUUUUGGAACUGUAAGACUUGAGUGCAGGAGAGGAGAGUGGAAUUCCUAGUGUAGCGGUGAAAUGCGUAGAUAUUAGGAGGAACACCAGUGGCGAAGGCGACUUACUGGACUGUAACUGACGCUGAGUCACGAAAGCGUGGGUAGCAAACAGGAUUAGAUACCCCGGUAGUCCCUGAG
rnacentral:rRNA from 1 species